CAGUCGCCGCGGGAAUACGUAGGGUGCGAGCGUUAAUCGGAAUUACUGGGCGUAAAGCGUGCGCAGGCGGUUUUGUAAGACAGGCGUGAAAUCCCCGGGCUCAACCUGGGAAUGGCGCUUGUGACUGCAAAGCUAGAGUGCGGCAGAGGGGGAUGGAAUUCCGCGUGUAGCAGUGAAAUGCGUAGAUAUGCGGAGGAGCACCGAUGGCGAAGGCAAUCCCCUGGGCCUGCACUGACGCUCAUGCACGAAAGCGUGGGGAGCAAACAGGAUUAGAUACCCCCGUAGUCCCUGUCUCUUAUAC
rnacentral:rRNA from 1 species